AGUGGGAUAGCUGGGUCAAAUGGUGGUUCCAUUCCAAGUUAUCUGAGGAAUCUCCAUACUGUUUUCCAUAGUGGUUGCAUCAAUUUGCAGUCCCACCAGCAAU
rnacentral:pre_miRNA from 1 species